rnacentral:rRNA from 1 species
UACAGAGGUCCCAAGCGUUUGUUCGGAUUCACUGGGCGUAAAGGGUGCGUAGGCGGUCGGGUAAGUCUGACGUGAAAUCUCCAAGCUCAACUUGGAAAUGGCGUCGGAUACUAUUCGGCUUGAGGAGUGGAGGGGAGACUGGAAUUCUCGGUGUAGCAGUGAAAUGCGUAGAUAUCGAGAGGAACACCAGUGGCGAAGGCGAGUCCCUGGACAACUCCUGACACUGAGGCACGAAAGCUAGGGGAGCAAACAGG